GGUCUCAUAGCUCAGAUGGUAGCGCGUGUGCUGUACACAACUGCAAGCGGCGUCCAUGCUUGGGUUCGAAUCCCACUGAGGCUA
rnacentral:tRNA from 1 species